UGCAGAUGAUGUUUUUUCUCACGAUGGUCUUCCAAGUCUCAGACUCUGACGACAAUGCCUUAUGGCAUCACUGAUGCAGUAGU